ensembl:lncRNA
UUUUUUUUUUUUUUUUUUUUUUUUUUGCCUUUUAAAAGUAUAAAUAAAAAUUAUGUAAAAUUUGAAUGUGCAAUCGUUUUCUUGUGAAAACAAAGAAAAACAUUUCAUUUUAUAUAUUAUAUACAUUUUUCAGUUCUAUAUUUUGUUAUAAAUAUUUUAUAAAAGAAAAAAAAAAAGAUAAUGUUUAAAAAUGUUAUAAAUUAAAUUAAAAAUAAUGGCUAAUGAUCAUACAAAUAAUAAAAUAAAAGUUUUAAACGUUUUUCAAAAUGAAGAAACAACAGGAAGUGCAGGAAAAUUGCCACAUUCCAAUAAAUUUGAAUUUGAAAAAGGAAUAAUACGAAAUGCCAUAGUUUCAACAAACUUAAACAAAUUCAUAAAAUUAGAAGAAAAAAAAAUAGAGAAAAAAAAUUAUAUAAUUUUCCGUGAACAAUGUGAAUAUUGUUUAACUAAUUUUUCUGUUAGUGGUCAUUUAAUUUUAACAAAAGAAUCUUUACUAUUUGAGCCAGAUUUAAGAGACAAACAUGUGAUUACAUAUGGUUUAGGUACAUAUCAGAUUUUUAUUGAUUUAUAUGACAUUUAUGAAUGUGCUCAUAUAGUUGUACCAACUAAAGAUAUAUAUUUAUAUACUAAUGAAGAAACUUGUGGGUUUAUUCAAGUGUUAUUAAAAAGUAUUUAUAAUAGAAUAUGCGAUGAACCAUCAUUACGUAAUAGGAGUAGUUCCAAUUGUUCAACUAAUUUUAGCCCAACCAAUAGUGGUAGUGAUGAUACUACGAAUAAACAAAAAGGAGUAUCAUAUUAUAAAUAUAUAAGUAGAAGUUUAUCUUAUGUAUUUAAUUUAGCGCACCCAUUGAUACAAAAUACGUCACUAAAAGAUAAUAAACAUGAUUAUAUUGAUAGAUCUAAAACAUUAGUAGAUAUAUCUAAACAUUUGGGAAGUAGUAAUGAUAAUAAUAUUUAUAAUAAUAAUAGUAAUAGUAAUAAUAAUCAUAAUAAUAAUAAUAAUUAUAACAAAAACGAGUAUGAAAACUUAGAAACUUUAAACAAAACAAAACAAAAAAAAAUUAUUAAUUUUGAUAUAACAUCACGUAAAAAUAAUAAUAUCAUUGAUCAUUUGUAUGAUAGUGAUAUGAAAAUUUAUCAAAAAAUUAAUGAAACAAAUUAUAGUCAGAUACAUUCCUCACAUCCUAAUAUAACUUAUAAAAAUAAUUUUAAUUUGGCUAACUAUUCGAGUUAUGCUAAUGAUAUGGAAAAUGAUUCCAGUGGACAAAAGAAAGAACAACAACAUGAGGGACAGCAUGAUCAGCAGCAUGAGGGACAGCAUGAUCAGCAGCAUGAGGGACAGCAUGAUCAGCGGCAUGAGGGACAGCAUGAUCACCAACAUGAGGGACAGCAUGAUCACCAACAUGAGGGACAGCAUGAUCACCAACAUGAGGGACAGCAUGAUCACCAACAUGAGGAACAAAACGAGCAUCAACAAGAUUCACCAAAGGUGAGUAACAGUAGCAAAAGUUGUGUCAAUAGUGACAUAAAAGAAGAAAACACACAGCGAACUGAACUCUCAAACAGUCCAGGAGAAGAAUUAACGAAAAAAGACAAACCUAUUGAAGCAUCAGACAAUAUCAAACAAAAUAAAGAUGUUGACUUGCUCAAACAAACGCACAUAUUAGAUAAUAAUGAAAAGAACAAACGAGAAUAUAAUAUAAAAGAAGAAUGUCAAAUACCUUAUUCUAGUAAUCCUGAUGAAAAUGAUAUAACAAAGAAAACAGAUAGUAAUAGUUUUUCUAAUGGUAUGCCACAUAUUUAUACUAGAACAAAAACACUUAAAGACAUGUCUAUUGAUAUAUAUGACAAGAUUAUAAAUAAAACAACAUAUAACGAUGAACAACAUAUAAAAGAUCAAUUAAUAACUAAUAAAUUAGAACAACAGCAACAUAAUAAUAAUAAUAAUAUGAAUAAGUUAAAUAUUAUGAAAAAAUAUAAUACAUCACCAUCAUAUGAAGAAAAAAGUUUCAUUUUAUUUCGCUUUUUUAAUAAUAAUACAGCAUAUGAAACAACAAUUAAAAUAAUUAAAGAAAUUGAUGAAGUUCGAAAAACAGAAAAUAAAAUAAAAAAAACAAUCACAUCUGUUCCAUUUACAUCUAAUGAAUUGUUAAGGUGUAUUAUAAAACAAUCAUUAAUGGCAAAAGAGUCUAAACAACAAAUGAAGUUUGUUAAUGUAAAUGGUGAUAAUAAUAAUAAUAAUAAUAAUAGCAACAGUUAUAACAAUAACAAUAAUAGCAAUAAUAAAAAUAAUAAAAAUAAAAAUAAUAAUAAUAAUAAUAAAUAUUUAAAUAAUUUAACCUUAACACCUAAAUUAGUAUAUAUCAAUGGUGCAGUAAAAUUACUAAACAAACAAAUGACAAAACAAAUAAAUUAUUAUUUACCACCAACUUUAAGUGUAAAAAUGUGGAAAUUAGCUUUUUGUACUAGCAUACAUGGUGUAUCUUUCAAAACAUUAUAUAGAAGUGUUUAUAACAAAGGUAGUUUACUUUUAUUAAUUUAUGACAUGGAUAAUGUAUUGUUUGGUGUGUUUUUGGACAAGCUACAUUGUGGUAAUUGUUAUUAUGGUUCAGGUGAAAAUUUUUUAUUUACUUUUAAAAAUACAAAACAAAAAUUGAAGGAGACAACAAGUACUAUUGAUAACGAAAAAGCAAGUUACGAUAAUACAUCUACUUUUAUAGCUUCUGCUAUUGAUUCUACCACUACUACUACAACUAAUAACAAUAAUAUUAUUAGUGAUAGCAAUUUUGUUGGUGCAGGAAACAACUUCGAUUCUCGAAAAAUCAAAGAUACUUUAUACACAGAACAUAAUGACAUGAAUACCAACAAAAUAUAUAGUAAUAAUAAUAAUAAUAAUAAUUUAAAAUCUGCAAAAUCUUUUAAUGUAUCAUAUCAUAGUGAUUUUGAAAAUAGAUCAAAAUGCUUAAAUAAAUGUUCAACUAAUCCAGAUAUUAAUAAAACAAUAUUAGAAACAAAUUAUACGAAUAUAUUUAACAAUAAAACAAAUGAUUAUAAUAUUAUACAUCAAGGUGAUAAUAUUACUGGUUCCAGUAAUAAUCUAUUUAAAAAAAGUAGCAACAGCAGUAGUAGUAGUAGUAGCAGUAGUAGUAGCAAAAAUGUAGUAGGAAGAGGACGGUUUUCAAGUAUAGGUAAUGACUUUGAUAAAAUAAAAAAUAAUAAAACUGAAAUGGAUGGUAUUGGUAGUACUAGUGAUAAUAAUGACAAAGGUAAUGAUAAAAAGAAUGGUAUGAAAAACGAAAUUGAUAAUGAGUCUGCUACAAUUCAGGUUUACCCAUGGACAACCAAAAAUAGUUAUUUUGUAUAUUCAAAUGAAAGGUCUAUUACUAUUGGAGGUGGUGACAAUUGUGCUUUAGUUAUUAAUGAUGAUUUAUGUAAAGGUCAAACAAACAAAUGUAACACUUAUGAUAAUGAUUUAUUAACACAUAACGAUGAAUUCGAAAUUCAA